rnacentral:rRNA from 1 species
UGGGGAAUUUUGGACAAUGGGCGCAAGCCUGAUCCAGCAAUGCCGCGUGAGUGAUGAAGGCCUUAGGGUUGUAAAGCUCUUUUACCCGGGAUGAAAAUGACAGUACCGGGAGAAUAAGCCCCGGCUAACUCCGUGCCAGCAGCCGCGGUAUAUCUUU